rnacentral:tRNA from 1 species
UAGCCUAGUGGUUAAGGCUAUGGAUCGCCAAUCCGGAGAUGGCGGGUUCGAUUCCCGC